rnacentral:sRNA from 1 species
GGCGGAUUUGGAGGGACCCUACGAACCAGGAGUCAGGCGAGCCGAUCUGGGGCUGCAGCGCGCCUGGUGAUUCGGCUGCACCCCCGCACAGGAUGUUCCGCUGGGAGCGCUCCAUUCCCCUGCGAGGCUCGGCCGCCGCCCUGUGCAACAACCUCAGUGUGCUGCAGCUGCCGGCUCGCAACCUCACGUAUUUUGGCGUGGUUCAUGGACCAAGCGCCCAGCUUCUCAGCGCUGCUCCUGAGGGUGUGCCCUUGGCCCAGCGCCAGCUCCACGCUAAGGAGGGUGCUGGAGUGAGUCCCCCACUUAUCACUCAGGUCCACUGGUGUGUCCUCCCCUUCCGAGUGCUGCUGGUACUCACCUCACAUCGAGGAAUACAGAUGUACGAGUCCAAUGGCUACACCAUGGUCUACUGGCAUGCACUGGACUCUGGAGAUGCCUCCCCAGUACAGGCUGUGUUUGCCCGGGGAAUUGCUGCCAGUGGCCACUUCAUCUGUGUGGGAACGUGGUCAGGCCGGGUGCUGGUGUUUGACAUCCCAGCAAAGGGUCCCAACAUUGUACUGAGCGAGGAGCUGGCUGGGCACCAGAUGCCAAUCACAGACAUUGCCACCGAGCCUGCCCAGGGACAGGAUUGUGUGGCUGACAUGGUGACGGCAGAUGACUCAGGCUUGCUGUGUAUCUGGCGGUCAGGGCCAGAAUUCACAUUAUUGACCCGCAUUCCAGGAUUUGGAGUUCCGUGCCCCUCUGUGCAGCUGUGGCAGGGGAUCAUAGCAGCAGGCUAUGGGAACGGACAAGUGCAUCUGUAUGAGGCCACUACAGGAAAUCUACAUGUCCAGAUCAAUGCCCAUGCCCGGGCCAUCUGCGCCCUGGACCUGGCUUCUGAGGUGGGCAAGCUACUCUCUGCAGGUGAGGACACCUUUGUGCAUAUCUGGAAGCUGAGCAGAAACCCAGAGAGUGGCUACAUUGAGGUAUGUGUCAUGGGGUGGGUGGAAUGGGGGGGCCCAAGCAUGGGGCAGCAGGCCCUGACGAGCCCUCUGCUCCCCCAGGUGGAACACUGUCAUGGUGAGUGUGUCUCCGACACCCAGCUGUGUGGUGCUCGAUUUUGUGAUUCCUCAGGCAACUCCUUU